rnacentral:misc_RNA from 1 species
AUGGUCGCCAGAGGAAGACAUGCUCUUGUGUGAGUUCAAAAGGUUGAGCAGAAACAGCUAUUACACUUCAGUCUAGAUUGGGUUUAUCCCAUUCGAUGUGGUUGCUCUAUCUGAUAACUUGAGAUGAUCUGCAGGCCCAGAAAAUAUUCGGUAACAGAUGGACGGAAAUAGCCAAAGUUGUUUCUGGCAGGUAUAAAAUAUCUUUGGCCCAAUGUAAUCAGAAAUUUCUUUUUGCUUUUAUGCUUAUCCUAUCUUUGUUUAAAUGUGCUGCUCAUGCAGAACGGAUAACGCUGUGAAGAAUCGGUUCUCCACUCUGUGCAAAAAGAGAGCGAAAUAUGAGGCUUUAGCAAAAGAGAAUAAAAAUGCAUGUAUCAACUCCAACAACAAAAGAAU